GGGGCCCGCACAAGCGGCGGAGCAUGUGGAUUAAUUCGAUGCAACGCGAAGAACCUUACCUGGGUUUGACAUAUAGAGGAUCGCCGGAGAGAUUCGGUUUGCCUUGUGCCUUCUAUACAGGUGGUGCAUGGCUGUCGUCAGCUCGUGUCGUGAGAUGUUGGGUUAAGUCCCGCAACGAGCGCAACCCUUGUCUCAUGUUGCCAGCACGUAAUGGUGGGGACUCGUGAGAGACUGCCGGGGUCAACUCGGAGGAAGGUGGGGAUGACGUCAAGUCAUCAUGCCCCUUAUGUCCAGGGCUUCACACAUGCUACAAUGGCGCGUACAGAGGGCUGCGAUACCGUGAGGUGGAGCGAAUCCC
rnacentral:rRNA from 1 species